rnacentral:sRNA from 1 species
UUUAACGAGGCUAUCACUAUGAGACUACGAUGCAGAAAACAUAUCGACUAGAUGCACCCCAACCUGGCUGAGGCUUACUUGGAUCUUGGUCAGUUUGGACUCAUCGAAAGAGCAAAUAUGAAGAUGUGAGAAGUAUGGACAUUUCAAAAACCAAGUUUAAACAUGCUAAAUCUGUGACGCCCAGACGCCCAGGAUUCACUGAUGAGGGUGGCACUAUGAAUCACGUCAACCGCUCAUUGACACGUUAUAAGGGAACUCGGACGUUUGCCAUUAGCAGUACCUACAGUUUGCACUCUUUGGGUCGGUCGCAAAGCUCAAGGUCUUUCGUAGCAGCACUAAAUAGCGAAAAUAUGUCUCCACCAAUGUCUCAGGAGAAAACCUUUACAUCCAGUAGAAA